rnacentral:rRNA from 1 species
GCCAUGCGCUUAGCCUUUACAAACCUCAAAUAACUAUUUUAUUAUAUUUACAAAACAUUUAACUCAUCCAAGUAUAGGUGAUAGAACAGAUACAAUGCGCUAUAACGAUAGUACCGCAAGGGAAAACUGAAAGACAAAUUAAAGCAUAAAAAAGCAAAGACUAAACCUUUUACCUUUUGCAUAAUGAUUUAGCUAGUUAAACCGGACAAAAAGAAUUACGCCCGACCCCCCGAAAUUAAGUGAGCUACUAUAAAACAGUAUAUAAGAACCAACUCGUCUAUGUAGCAAAAUAGUGAGAAGAUUUUAUAGUAGAGGUGAAAAGCCAAUCGAACUUAAAGAUAGCUGGUUGUCCAAAAUACGAAUUUUAGUUCAACUUUAAAUUAUAUAUUUAGUGAAAAUAAAACCACACCUUAAAUUUAAAAGCUAAUCAAAAGAGGGACAACUCUUUUGAUCAUGUAAACAAACUUUAUUAGAGGGUAAUGCUAUCCUUACAUACAUUGUGGGCCUAAAAGCAGCCACCAAUUAAGAAAGCGUUAAAGCUCAAACAUUAUUACUCCUUAAUCCCACUAAUUAAACAAAACCCCUAAUAUGAAUAUUGGAUGAUCCUAUAUUUUUAUAGAAGACAUAAUGCUAAAAUUAGUAACAAGAAUCCCUUCUCCUUGCACAAGCUUAUAUUAGUAACGGAAAACCCACUAACAAUUAACAAACCAAUAAUUACAAUCAAGAACUAGCAAAUUAUAUCACUUAUUGUUAACCCAACACAGGUGUGCAUCUAAAGGAAAGAUAAAAAAGAAUAAAAGGAACUCGGCAAACUAAAACCCCGCCUGUUUACCAAAAACAUCACCUCUAGCAUAACAAAUAUUAGAGGCAUCGCCUGCCCAGUGAGUUAAACUUUAACGGCCGCGGUAUCCUGACCGUGCAAAGGUAGCAUAAUCACUUGUCUCCUAAUUAGGGACUCGUAUGAAUGGCAUGACGAGGGUUUAACUGUCUCUUAUUCUCUAUCAGUGAAAUUGACCUCCCCGUGCAGAGGCGGGGAUAUAAAUACAAGACGAGAAGACCCUGUGGAGCUUAAGAUUCAUGAUAUAUCUCUAUCCAUUUUCACCCGAAAGGACUAAGAUCACGAGCUCUAUAUCAUAAUCUUUGGUUGGGGUGACCUCGGAGCAUAAAACAACCUCCGAAUGACAUAACCUAGAUUCUACCAAUCUAAGUGUAGCAAUACCAGUAAUUGACCCAAAUAUUGAUCAACGGAACAAGUUACCCCAGGGAUAACAGCGCAAUCCUAUUUAAGAGCCCAUAUCGACAAUUAGGGUUUACGACCUCGAUGUUGGAUCAGGACAUCCCAAUGGUGUAACCGCUAUUAAUGGUUCGUUUGUUCAACGAUUAAAGUCCUACGUGAUCUGAGUUCAGACCGGAGAAAUCCAGGUCGGUUUCUAUCUGUAUUUUUAUUUCUCCCAGUACGAAAGGACAAGAGAAAUAAGGCCAACAUUACUAAUGAGCCUUAGAAGUAAUAUAUGAAAUUAUCUUAAUAUCUUAAUUCGACAUCUUUACUCCAUAGAAAAUGG